GCUGAGCUUCAACAGCUGGGUGGUGGGUGGGGAGGGCAGGCGCAGAAGGGGUCUCUGGGAGAGGAGGCUCUGCAUUCGUGGUCCAUUGUGAUCAGGAAGAUGGCAGCUCUCUGUGUUCAUAAUCCACACAGCGAUGUCACUUCCAAAUGCACAAAGACUUCAUACUCACUAUCUUUCCACAGCCGGGGCUAAAAAGUUGGAAGAUCCUAUCUCAGAGUGUUGGGUUAUGAAAACAGGAGACCACCUCUUGGAAGUACAGGGCAUCAUGGUGACCAUGGCAGAGACCACCUCUGUCCACCAGGGACAGCAGCUCAUCUCCUGAAAUGCAGAUGCAGAGACGCUUCUGAGAGAUCCCAUGUCUCACCUCAAAGUCACGAAGUCAGUGAACGUCUGGUGAAAAAAAAUGUCAUGCCUGGAGCAAGAAAGACUCUUCUGUGAAGCGCUCAAAUGCACGAACGAGAGUAAAUCUGUUCACCGUCCAAAUAUGCCUUAUCCUGGACAGGUAGAUGGGUGGACAGUGUUGUUUGCUUUUAAUUUUAAAAUAUCUUUUUAAAAAUGACCGUAUAGGCCAGGGACAGUGGCUCACACCUAUAACCUCAGCACUUUGGGAGGCUGAGGCAGGAGGAUAGCUUGGGCUCAGGAGUUCGAGGCCAGCCUGGGCAACAUGGGGAGACCCCCCCCAUCUCUACAACAAAUUUUAAAAAUUAGCUGAGCAUGGUGGUGCACGCCUAUGGUCCCAGCUACCUCGGAGGCUGAGGCAGGAGGAUAGCUUGGGCUCAGGAGUUUGAGGCUGCAGUGAGCCAGAAUCAUGCCACUGCACUUCAGCCUGGGGAACACAAUGAGAUCUUGUCUCAAAAAAAAAAAAAAAAAAUGCAGCUAUAGAAACCAAGGUUGGAGGAGGAGCGAGUCAGGGAAGGGACAGGACUGGGGACUCAGUAGGGAGAAGGGCUGAUUCCCAGGCACUGUUCUAAAGACUUCCUUUCUCUUACCACAAAGCAAUGCAUGAGCCAGAAGGAACAGGAGGCUUUAGUAGGCCAAGUGACUCUGCCCCCAUCUCCUCUGGGCACUCAGGGAGGGCUGGUGGCAAACAUGAUGGAAGACUCAAGUUAUCAUAGAGUCCACGUGCAGGCCUUGUGGUAGUACUGCCAGAGCUCUCAUGACCUAGAAACACGGCAGCCACACUUCUGUCAGCUUUCUUGCUCCCUGGGGGUUCUCUACUGCAAACGGACAGGGCAUUGCCUUUCAGGAAUAAAAAGAGGCUGCCUCCCAACACCAAGAAUCCAUUUGGUAAGGACUGAGCUGCUAUGAACUGGGGAAAAGGAACCAACCUCCUGGAUGGGUGGCUGGGGUGGUGGCUUGGGCUGGUGACCAUCCUAGGAUGAUGGUCCUUCUUUUCAUUGAAAAAGGAAGUUCAGCAAGAGCUUAAGGAUCUUAAGAUACCAUUCAAAGAGUUUUCUACUUCCUUGGAAGACUUGAAUAUGGCUGUAUUUGUUUUGCAUUCAGCCCAAGAAAGGUAAUGGAAGGAGCCUCAUAAAACAAGAGCUGGUCUUGAACAAAAAAAUACUGCACAUUAAAAAGAUUUGAGGGAAGUCCAGCUAUUUCUUCUCCCCCAUUUCUUUGUAAAAGGGCCUCAAAAUGGUCAGUCCCAAAGGCCAGGACCCUUUGAGCGGCACGCCCCAGGACCCAGGGGUAGAGUCCGGGGGUUAGGCCUGGAAACUGGGCCUCACGGCUGGUGUGCUCACGACUGUCCUCCCCACGGCUCAUGCUCCAAUGCUGCCUGCGUCAUCCAGAGAAAUGUGUUUGGGAUGAUCACCCCCAAAGCCCUGCUGAGAGCCCACAGCAGGGGUGGGCUCCCAGGCAUUCCCAUUCUGUGGUUUGGGGUGGAACCUGCGAGUCUGCACUUUUGACAGGAGGUGCCACUGCAGCUAGGGCAGGGUCCACAUGGUGAGAGACCCUGGCAGCUGCUGGGUGGCACAGUCAGACAUCAGGGACUCAGCCGGGCAGGGGACAGUGAGGUCAAAUGUUCACCCUGUCCUGGACGGGAGGUGGGAGCAGAUUGGCCCCUGGUCACUUCAUCGAGGCAGGAGGAGGUGGCCAGCUGCUCCCUGGGGAUGGACAGCCCUGCUACAAGGGUCUGGGGGCUGCCUUCAGAGGCCCCUGGGCUGGCAAAGCCACCAAGUCCUCUAGGAGCUCCUGCCUGAAACUUUGAAAUGUCCGAUAGAUCUUGCCUCUGCCCCACCUUCCUGGGGAAGGAACAGUGACUAUGUCUUGAGCCCUUUGGUGGCUUGGUCUCUCCUUGGGCCUCUCAUUUGCCCAGAGAGACUGCCCCACCCAUGCCACAUGGGCCAGCACAUUGAUGGGGCUGUGAAGGUCUCGAAACCCUGUGAACGCUUCAGGAACAUGCCGGGUCCCUGGGCCAGCCUCCCUCCCCGCUACAGACACGACGCUGCUCCGUCAGGAUGAGCGCGCUGCCUCACUUCCCGAUGCUCCUGUGGGCCCCGAGGCUUUGGGACACUUGGGGUUUCAUGACACAUCUUUACGGUCCUAUGCGUCUGUUAAAAAUAGAGCAAAAAUCCCCCAAUGCAAACCUCUUGCAAAUGACUGGCUUUAGCAGUCAGGACCUGCUUAGAAGGAAAGAGGCCCAUCGCCCACCAGGCUGCAAACACCUAGAUCCGCGCGCCAGCCGCCUUCCUGAAGGAAGAGCAGACAGAGGUGGGUGCGACAGUGGCUCGGCAUGCCCCUCGAGGAGAAGGGCUCAGCCUAGGCGACUCCGAGGGCCCCAGGAGAGGACAUUCUGGCUGGGAGGGGGAAGUCCCACGUGUGUCUGGAACAUUUAAUUCAGAUUAUUCCAAGCCGACAGAAGGGUGACACCAAUGUGAGGAAAUGGCUCCAGAGAUAGAUGUGGGUAAAUACAACCAAUCCUUCAAAGGUGAAGUGUGGAUCACUUUCUACAUUUAAUAAAGACAUUUUCUCAUUUGA